CCUAAGUCAGACACAAGACCAGAGCUGCAUGGGGUUCCACAGGGCCUGGGGGCUGAAGUGAGUCUCGAGUCCAACCUUGAGUGACAUCCCACCAUAUAUGGAGGUACCUCAUAACAGCGAGGAGCCCAUGUGUCUGCUUAGCACCUGCCGAGUUUGGCCAGGAGAUCCUACACCCCAGGGGCCCAGAUUCCUGAGAUCUCCAAGGAGUUGCUGAGUGAAGAUCAAGACUGACCCCUGUGGAAGUGGCUCUGGGCCCACAGAGAGCCAGAAGCCUUGCUCGCUCGCUCGCUCGCUCGCGUGACUGGGAGCUCUACACAGGGCUCUCUCCUGCUGAGCAGUGGGAGCAAUAGAACAAUGACAGAUCUCCCUCAGUGACACAUCGUUCAGGCAGCACCACAGUGAAGACUGGACAAGCUCUGAUGCUCCAGGGACUGUGAUGGUUUGCAUAUGCGCGGCACAGGGAGUGGCACUAUUAGUAGGUGUGGUCCUG